GAAAAGUUAGUUUAAGUAAAAACACUAACUUGUCAAGCUAGAAAUAUUAUUAAUACUUUUCC
rnacentral:tRNA from 1 species